AUACCUUCUCGAAACAAAAGAUUUUCCUACCUGCUUAUACUUGGUAACCGAGGGAAUUUCUAAGACUUCUUGCUCAUUUCUGAGUAUUGUCUUUAUAUCCUGACACUAUGAAUGCUACUUGGAUGCCUCUUAAGGGUCUCUUCUGCAGGGUCCCCAUGAAUUGUGGCUGAAGUUGUGCACAAACAAGUAUCUCCAGUGACAGGAGUGCCUUCUGAGGCAGCCAUUGCAUCUUCAUCUGCUGACACUCUGCUAGGCUGACUUCUGUAGUUUUCACCACUGAUCUUCAGUCCACCUCACAGAGCUCUAUAAAACGCUUAAAUCCUCUUUACAUCAUAGACUUUCAGCUACUUGAAGAUAGCCAUCAGCCGCUACGUGACUCUUUUCUCCAGGCCCUUCUCCUUCUGGGGCUGAACCCCGUCUCUGCCUCCCUCCAGGACCAGCACUGCGAGAGCCUGUCCCUGGCCAGCAACAUCUCAGGACUGCAGUGCAACGCAUCCGUGGACCUCAUUGGCACCUGCUGGCCCCGCAGCCCUGCGGGGCAGCUAGUGGUUCGGCCCU
rnacentral:sRNA from 1 species